rnacentral:rRNA from 1 species
AUUGAACGCUGCGGCAGGCUUAACACAUGCAAGUCGAGCGAGCGGCGGACGGGUGAGUAAUGCUUAGGAAUCUGCCUAUUAGUGGGGGACAACAUCUCGAAAGGGAUGCUAAUACCGCAUACUAAUAGCAGAACCUAAGUCGGAUUAGCUAGUUGGUGGGGUAAAGGGCUACCAAGGCGACGAUCUGUAGCGGGUCUGAGAGCAUGAUCCGCCACACUGGUGCGUAGACGCGGCCAAGACUCCUGCGGUAGGCAGCAGGGGGGAAUGUUGGACAAUGGGGGGAACCCUGAUCCAGCCAUGCCGCGUGUGUGAAGAAGGCCUUAUGGUGGUAAAGCACUUUCAGCGGGGAGGCGUUACCCGCAGAAGAAGCACCGGCUAACUCCGUGCCAGCAGCCGCGGUAAUUC